ensembl:lncRNA
CUUCCCCAAACCCCCUGCAAGGGCCUCAUCACCCCAUCUCACAGGGGCGGGAAGUGACCCUCAAGGAGGGCAGUGACUGUCCCGCUGGCUCUAGGGAAGAGCAGCACCAGGAUUUGAAAGCAAGCCCUGGAACCUGUCCCCUUUCCCUUGAGGGCAAAGGUCACUCCAGGACAGAUUUUAACUGGACAAAGGGAUCAUCUGAAAGGUGAAGGGACUUGCCUCAGGUCACUGAGCCUGUCUGGGACAGGGACUGGCAGCCUCAUCCUCCUACCUGCUCUGACUGGCUUCAGACCCCGAAGAACUAAGGCUCCCAACCUCAGAAUGUGGCAGCCUUGCUUCCUCGGGGCCAGCUGAAGCCCCCGGAUUGUACCUUGGAGCCCUAGGGCUCCAGCUGCUAAGACGGCAGCGGGAAGACAGCCUGACCCGAGAGCCAGCCUUCUUAUCUGCGCCAGAGACCUCACGGUGUCCUGCCACGACCCGUACCCCCAUGGCCUCCAUCCGGGACUGCUGCACAGCUCUGUUCUGAGUCCCCGCCCUGCGAAGGAGGUGUGGAGGUUGUGGCUUUCUUCCACCCACCCCGCCCUAAGCAACUUUCCCUUCAGGAGACUCAACAGAGGAAAAGUGAUCUCAUAAAAAGUCCCAGAGAGACUGGAACUAAUGUCAGCAUCAUGCACACUGAAAUGUACCCUCUUCAAUUCAACAAAGGUUUAUUGAGCAUCUGUCUGUACAGACCUUGUGCUGGGUGCUAGGCUGUUGUUGUUCAGUCGCUAAGUCAUGUCCGACUCUUUGUUACCCGAGCACACCAGGCUUCCCUGUCCUUCACUGUCUCCCAGAGUUUGCUCAAAUUCAUGUCCAUUGAGUCAGUGAUGCCAUCCAACCAUCGCAUCCUCUGUCAUCCCCUUCUCCUCCUGCCCUCAGUCUUUCCAAACAUCAGGG